rnacentral:Y_RNA from 1 species
GGUUGGUCCCAUGGUGGUGGGUUAUCAGAACUUAUUAACAUUAGUCUCACUAAAGCUAAUGUAUAACCCCCAACUGCUAAGUUUGACUGGCUAAUA